UGCUAUCGGGGUUCGAUUAAGCCAUGCGAGUCGAGAGGUGCAAGACCUCGGCGCACUGCUCAGUAACACGUGGACAACCUACCCUGAGGAGAGGGAUAACCCCGGAAAACUGGGGAUAAUACCUCAUAGACCAGGGAUGCUGGAAUGCUUCCUGGUCCAAAGGUCCGCCGCCUCAGGAUGGGUCUGCGGCCGAUUAGGUUGUUGUUGGGGUAACGGCCCAACAAGCCUUUGAUCGGUACGGGUUGUGGGAGCAAGAGCCCGGAGAUGGAUUCUGAGACACGAAUCCAGGCCCUACGGGGCGCAGCAGGCGCGAAAACUUUACAAUGCGAGAAAUCGUGAUAAGGGAACCCCGAGUGCCCGUAAAUCCGGGCUGUCCAUCAGUGUAAAUAACUGGUGAAGAAAGGGCCGGGCAAGACCGGUGCCAGCCGCCGCGGUAAUACCGGCGGCUCGAGUGGUGGCCGCUAUUACUGGGCUUAAAGCGUUCGUAGCUGGGCUGUUAAGU
rnacentral:rRNA from 1 species